rnacentral:rRNA from 1 species
CCUACGGGAGGCAGCAGUGGGGAAUAUUGCACAAUGGGGGAAACCCUGAUGCAGCGACGCCGCGUGAGUGAAGACGUAAUUCGUUAUGUAAAGCUCUAUCAGCAGGGAAGAAAAUGACGGUACCUGAGUCAGUAGCCCCGUCUAACUACGUGCCAGCAGCCGCGGUAAUACGGAGGAUGCGAGCGUUAUCCGGAUUUAUGGGGUUUAAAGGGUGCGCAGGCGGAGGUGCAAGUCAGCGGUCAAAUUGCGGGGCUAAACCCCGUACUGCCAUUGAUACUGGAUGCCUUGAGUGCGCGAGAGGUAUGCGGAAUUCGUGGUGUAGCGGUGAAAUGCAUAGAUAUCACGCAGAACUCCGAUUGCGAAGGCAGCAUACCGGCGCGCAACUGACGCUCAUGCACGAAAGCGUGGGUAUCGAACAGGAUUAGAUACCCGGGUAGUC